AGUAGAGGGGAGACGUUGCUGGAAGUGGCAGCAGAGGAGCUGUCGGCUUGAGCAGAGAACUCUGCAUAGAAUCGGAAAAUGCUUUGUUAAGAUUGCGAGGGGAAAAAUUCACAAACUCGAUUCUUAACGAUUAAUCGUGCAGCUCUACAGCACAGCAUCUUUGUUUGCCCUUCCCCUCUCCAUCAGCACUGGGGUCCCAUUAUCUGAGUGAGAGACAAGUGAAGCAUUGGAAUAUAAGUCAAUACCAGAUUGCAAAGAGUUUUCCUCCUGUGAAGUCUGGAGAUCAUAUGACCAUCACAUUGCCUCCACCUCCCUCCCUGACAGAAUAGAGAAAUCAAAACAAGGUUGUAAAAGUCAGAAGCAAGAUCAGUGAACUGAAGGACACAAGGAUCUCUACAAGGACGUCAUGAUGGACAAUCAGCCGCCCCUCACAUCACCGGAUGGAUUCAGUAAUGGGAA